GCCUUCGUGGUGUAGUGGUCAGCACGCUCGACGCGUAACCGAGAGGUCCGUGGUUCGAUUCCCAGCGUAGGCG
rfam:Stegodyphus mimosarum contig33229, whole genome shotgun sequence.